UGGGGAAUAUUGGACAAUGGGCGAAAGCCUGAUCCAGCCAUGCCGCGUGUGUGAUGAAGGCCUUAGGGUUGUAAAGCUCUUUUGCCGGGGACGAUAAUGACGGUACCCGGAGAAUAAGUCCCGGCUAACUUCGUGCCAGCAGCCGCGGUAAUACGAAGGGGACUAGCGUUGUUCGGAAUCACUGGGCGUAAAGCGCACGUAGGCGGAUUUGUAAGUCAGGGGUGAAAUCCCGGGGCUCAACCUCGGAACUGCCUUUGAUACUGCGGAUCUCGAGUCCGAUAGAGGUGAGUGGAAUUCCUAGUGUAGAGGUGAAAUUCGUAGAUAUUAGGAAGAACACCGGUGGCGAAGGCGGCUCACUGGAUCGGUACUGACGCUGAGGUGCGAAAGCGUGGGGAGCAAACAGGAUUAGAUACCCCGGUAGUCCCUGAGCGGGCUGGCAAGGCGCAU
rnacentral:rRNA from 1 species